CUUGGUCAUUUAGAGGAAGUAAAAGUCGUAACAAGGUUUCCGUAGGUGAACCUGCGGAAGGAUCAUUACCUAGAGUUUGUAGACUUCGGUCUGCUACCUCUUACCCAUGUCUUUUGAGUACCUUCGUUUCCUCGGCGGGUCCGCCCGCCGAUUGGACAACAUUCAAACCCUUUGCAGUUGCAAUCAGCGUCUGAAAAAACAUAAUAGUUACAACUUUCAACAACGGAUCUCUUGGUUCUGGCAUCGAUGAAGAACGCAGCGAAAUGCGAUAAGUAGUGUGAAUUGCAGAAUUCAGUGAAUCAUCGAAUCUUUGAACGCACAUUGCGCCCCUUGGUAUUCCAUGGGGCAUGCCUGUUCGAGCGUCAUUUGUACCUUCAAGCUCUGCUUGGUGUUGGGUGGUUGUCUCGCCUCUGCGUGUAGACUCGCCUUAAAACAAUUGGCAGCCGGCGUAUUGAUUUCGGAGCGCAGUACAUCUCGCGCUUUGCACUCAUAACGACGACGUCCAAAAGUACAUUUUUUACACUCUUGACCUCGGAUCAGGUAGGGAUACCCGCUGAACUUAAGCAUAUCAAUAAGCGGAGGAAAAGAAACCAACAGGGAUUGCCCUAGUAACGGCGAGUGAAGCGGCAACAGCUCAAAUUUGAAAUCUGGCGUCUUUGGCGUCCGAGUUGUAAUUUGCAGAGGGCGCUUUGGCAUUGGCAGCGGUCCAAGUUCCUUGGAACAGGACGUCACAGAGGGUGAGAAUCCCGUACGUGGUCGCUAGCCUUUACCGUGUAAAGCCCCUUCGACGAGUCGAGUUGUUUGGGAAU
rnacentral:sRNA from 1 species